rnacentral:lncRNA from 1 species
GGCAAGGGAGCCACUGAUCUGGGCUGUGGUGAAAGAAACACAUACACUCCAAAGACUUUUUUGGGUAUUUUACUCCAAGGGUACAUGCAGGUGGGAUAUGGAGGGAUCAGUCACACCUGGCCUGGGGAAGUCAGCAUCCAGAACAGUCUGCACUUGGCUGAAAAUGAGACAGUUGCCAGAGCCAUGGCUCAGGACAGGCGAGUCUCACAGCAGGACUGACGUGUCCAAAAGGUAAGCACACAGAACUUCCUCCUGACAUCAGAUGAUGAAGAUGGG